UACGGAGGGUCCAAGCGUUAUCCGGAAUCACUGGGCGUAAAGGGUGCGCAGGUGGCCGGGUGUGUGAGGCGUGAAAGCCCGAUGCUUAACAUCGGAAUUGCACCUCAAACUACACGGCUAGAGCAUUGGAGAGGGUAGCGGAAUUCACGGUGUAGCAGUGAAAUGCGUAGAUAUCGUGAGGAACACCAGAGGCGAAGGCGGCUACCUGGACAAUUGCCGACGCUCAGGCACGAAAGCGUGGGGAGCAAAAGGG
rnacentral:rRNA from 1 species